rnacentral:rRNA from 1 species
CCGUUAGGAGGGAAACGAAUGCAGCUGAAGUAGCUCCCCUUCAGGCUCAGGAAGUGUCGAAUCGGCUUGCUGGCUGGCGGAAGCCGUAAGGCACCGGCGGUUGGACGACCGGUCGACUACUCUGCACUCCUGGGGGGAGCUGGCCAACAACAGUUGUUUCUGGCUCACGAGGGCGGUUGGGCAGGUGGCCUCCUCUCUCGAGAGGUGGAACUUACAGCCAUCCGUCUGGUAGUCUGGAGGCGACUGAGGAGAGAUGUGAACUUUCACACUCGCAGUGCAGGCCCAUCUGGGCCGGGCCACCUCUUUCCGUUUGGGCACCGCUCCGGGGACUGCUUGCAGUGUCCGCUGACGAAUGUCUGCUCGGUCGGGGGAAUGGUCACGCCUUGCGCUGCAGUUGUUGGUGUCCAAAUGGCUGCAUCCGACCCGUCUUGAAACACGGACCAAGGAGUGCAACAUGCGUGCGAGUCUUGGGGUGACAAACCCAUCGGCGCAAUGAAGGUGAAGGCAGAUUUUUGGUCUGCUCAGGCAGGAGCUCCCCUCCGGGGGGCACACUGUCGACCGAUCCCAGGCUACGCUGUGGCGGGAUUUGAGUAAGAGCGUGCCUGUUGCGA